AACUUUCGGCAAUGGAUCUCUUGGCUCUCGCAUCGAUGAAGAACGCAGCGAAAUGCGAUACGUACUGUGCAUUGCAGAAUUCAGUGAAUCAUCGAAUCUUUGAACGCACCUUGCGCCCCUUGGCAUUCUGAGGGGCACACCCGUUUGAGUGUCGUGAAAUUCUCAAAACCUUUUCCUUUGUCGGAAAGGAUUUUGGACUUGGUGGCCUUUUGCUGGUUUCACCUCGAAGCGAGCUCCUCCCAAAUGGAUUAGUGGGGUCUGCUUUGCCGAUCCUUGACGUGAUAAGAUGCUUCUACGUCUCGGGUUUUGGCACUGUGCCUCUGCUUCUAACCGUCUCAUUGACAACGAUGGUGUUCCGGUCACCGCCGAUUCGUCGGUGGGAGGCUUGACCCACAAAACGACCUUGACCUCAAAUCGGGUGAGACUACCCGCUGAACUUAAGCAUAUCAAUAAGCGGAGGCU
rnacentral:misc_RNA from 1 species